AUUCCAGCUCCAAUAGCGUAUAUUAAAGUUGUUGCAGUUAAAAAGCUCGUAGUUGGAUUUCUGGCGGGAGCGGCCUGUCCUGCCCUUUGCGGGGUUGAGCACAAGCGCUGCAUCCGGCCAUCCUUGUGGAGAGCGUUUCUGGCAUUCAGUUGUCGGACUCGGGAUCCGCAUCGUUUACUGUGAAAAAAUUAGAGUGUUUAAAGCAGGCAUUUGCUUGAAUACAUUAGCAUGGAAUAAUAAGAUAGGACUUAGUCGUUAUUUUGUUGGUCUUGCACGUCUAGGUAAUGAUUAAUAGGGAUAGUUGGGGGUAUUCAUAUUUAAUUGUCAGAGGUGAAAUUCUUGGAUUUAUGAAAGAUGAACUUAUGCGAAAGCAUUUACCAUGGAUGUUUUCAUCG
rnacentral:rRNA from 1 species